rnacentral:misc_RNA from 1 species
GAAAUGCGAUACGUAGUGUGAAUUGCAGAAUUCCGUGAACCAUCGAAUCUUUGAACGCACAUUGCGCCCGCGGCUCCGGCCAAGGGCAUGUCUGCCUCAGCGUCGGCACACCCCCUCGUCCCCACAUCCUGGUUUUCGGAAGAGGUUGAUCGAUCGCACGAUUGAUCCCUUCUUUCCGACGACGAGGAUCCCUGGAGACGGAGCUGGUCUUCUCGCUUUCGAUAACAAGCGGGUGGACUGAAGCGGAGAGGUUUGAGCAUCGACCCCGCUCGAGGGCGACAGCUUGGUAGGUCUGUCACAGACUUUUCAUCCACUGCUGUGUCCGAGGGAUUCAUGCUGGAGACCCACUCGAAGUGACUUUUUUUCGGUCGUUUCACUUUUACAUUUUCGACCUGAGCUCAGGCAAGGCUACCCGCUGAACUUAAGC